GAUGAACGCUGGCGGCGUGCCUAACACAUGCAAGUCGAACGGAAAGGCCCUGCUUUUGUGGGGUGCUCGUGUGGCGAACGGGUGAGUAACACGUGAGUAACCUGCCCCUGUCUUUGGGAUAAAUCCAGGAAAAAGGGGCUAAUACCGGAUAGGAGCUCCUGCUGCACGGUGGUGGUUGGUAAGUUUCGGCGGUUGGGGCUGGACUCGCGGCUUAUCAGCUUGUUUGUGGGGUAGUGGCUUACAAAGGGUUAGACGGGUAGCCGGCCUUGGAGGCGUGCCGGGCACCUUGGGACUGAGGGACGGCGCAGAAUGCUACGGGAGGCAGCAGUGGGGAGUAUGGCACAAUGGGCGGAAGCCUGAUGUAGCAACGCUGCGUGCGGGAUGACGGCCUUCGAGUUGUGAACCGCUUUGGCAUGUGACGAAGCGAGAGUGACGGUAAUGGGUAAAAAAGCACCGGCUAACUACGUG
rnacentral:rRNA from 1 species